rnacentral:misc_RNA from 1 species
AAGUCGUAACAAGGUUUCCGUAGGUGAACCUGCGGAAGGAUCAUUAACAAAAGAAAAUUUUUUGAAGAAAUUAUUUUUUUCAAAUCUUUUUUUGCCAUUGUGAAUUAAAGAAAUCUUUUCUUUCUUUCUCUUCUUCCCUUUUCCCACUCUUUUUUAUUAAUGAGAGAAGAAGAGGGGAGGAAGAAGGAAUUGAUUUCUUUUAUAAUAUAGGCCUUUAAUUUAUCAAGUCUUAAUUUUAAAAUUAUAAAAAAUUAUAAAUAAUUUUUGACAAUGGAUCUCUAGGCUCUU